rnacentral:rRNA from 1 species
GCUGGCGGCAGGCCUAACACAUGCAAGUCGAGCGGUAACAGAAAGAAAGCUUGCUUUCUUUGCUGACGAGCGGCGGACGGGUGAGUAAUGCCUGGGAAUAUGCCUUAGUGUGGGGGAUAACUAUUGGAAACGAUAGCUAAUACCGCAUAACGUCCUCGGACCAAAGAGGGGGACCUUCGGGCCUCUCGCGCUAAGAUUAGCCCAGGUGGGAUUAGCUAGUUGGUGAGGUAAAGGCUCACCAAGGCAACGAUCCCUAGCUGGUCUGAGAGGAUGAUCAGCCACACUGGAACUGAGACACGGUCCAGACUCCUACGGGAGGCAGCAGUGGGGAAUAUUGCACAAUGGGGAAACCCUGAUGCAGCCAUGCCGCGUGUAUGAAGAAGGCCUUCGGGUUGUAAAGUACUUUCAGUCGUGAGGAAGGCAUUGUAGUUAAUAGCUGCAGUGCUUGACGUUAGCGACAGAAGAAGCACCGGCUAACUCCGUG